AUUGAACGCUGGCGGCAGGCCUAACACAUGCAAGUCGAACGAGUGGCGGACGGGUGAGUAAUGUCGGGGAAACUGCCUGAUGGAGGGGGAUAACUACUGGAAACGGUAGCUAAUACCGCAUACCAACGGCUGUGCCCAGGUGGGAUUAGCUAGUAGGUGGGGUAACGGCUCACCUAGGCGAAGAUCCCUAGCUGGUCUGAGAGGAUGACCGGCCACACUGGAACUGAGACACGGUCCAGACUCCUACGGGAGGCAGCAGUAGGGAAUAUUGCACAAUGGGCGAAAGCCUGAUGCAGCCAUGCCGCGUGUAUGAAGAAGGCCUUCGGGUUGUAAAGUACUUUCAGCGGGGAGGCGUUACCCGCAGAAGAAGCACCGGCUAACUCCGUGCCAGCAGCCGCGGUAAUAC
rnacentral:rRNA from 1 species